rnacentral:rRNA from 1 species
CCAGAGAACUUAGCAGAGAUGCUUUGGUGCCUUCGGGAACUCUGAGACAGGUGCUGCAUGGCUGUCGUCAGCUCGUGUUGUGAAAUGUUGGGUUAAGUCCCGCAACGAGCGCAGCCCUUAUCCUUUGUUGCCAGCGGUUCGGCCGGGAACUCAAAGGAGACUGCCGGUGAUAAACCGGAGGAAGGUGGGGAUGACGUCAAGUCAUCAUGGCCCUUACGGCCAGGGCUACACACGUGCUACAAUGGCGCAUACAAAGAGAAGCGACCUCGCGAGAGCAAGCGGACCUCAUAAAGUGCGUCGUAGUCCGGAUUGGAGUCUGCAACUCGACUCCAUGAAGUCGGAAUCGCUAGUAAUCGUAGAUCAGAAUGCUACGGUGAAUACGUUCCCGGGCCUUGUACACACCGCCCGUCACACCAUGGGAGUGGGUUGCAAAAGAAGUAGGUAGCUUAACCUUCGGGAGGGCGCUUACCACUUUGUGAUUCAUGACUGGGGUGAAGUCGUAACAAGGUAGGCGUAGCGAG